rnacentral:rRNA from 1 species
GUYUUUUWGKWUUUWUUUWAAARKUUWACCUGCCCAUUGAUAUAUUUAAAGGCUGCGGUAUUUUGACCGUACAAAGGUAGCAUAAUCAUUAGUUUUUUAAUUGAGAACUAGAAUGAAUGGUUGGAUGAGAUAUUAACUGUUUUAAUAAAAAUUUUUAGAAUUUUACUUUUUAAUUAAAAGGUUAAAAUGGAUUUAAAAGACGAGAAGACCCUAUAGAGUUUUAUAUUUAUUAAUAUAUAAUAAAUUAAGUUAAAGUUUUAUUUUAUAUAUUUAUAAUAUUUUAUUGGGGKGAUAAUAAAAUUUUAUAAACUUUUUUUUUUUUUACAUUAAUAUAUGGUUUAUUGAUCCAUUAAUAAUGAUUAUAAGUUUAAAUUACCUUAGGGAUAACAGCGUAAUUUUUUUUUUAAGUUCUUAUUAAUAAAAAAGUUUGCGACCUCGAUGUUGGAUUAAGAUAAAUUUUAGGUGCAGAAGUUUAAAUUUAA